GACUCUCGGGUUGGAUGGAAAUCCUGGCACAACGCGGAGAACCUCCCGGAUACCUUGGCUUUGCCGAGAGAUAUCAGCUUCAGGUCAUCACCGCGGUGCCCUGGGUCUGUCUGAAACCUUAGAGGGUGCGCCUUAAGCCGAUGUUGUAAACCCAGGCUGACUUUAAGGUGAAGUGAAAAGGAAACGCACACAAUCUGGAAAGCAAAAUACUUGGGUGGGGUGUUAAAAGCCUCAAAGAAAAAUAGUAGUUGGCAGGUCAAAUGGCCAUGAGGUUGGAAGUCAAAUACGAAACUCGGCUGAAGUGAUGUUAGAAGUUUGACAAGCAAAAACAGUCCGUGAAGAUAAGAGACCCAGCAUUGUUUCCCUUCUUCAAAAGACAACUCGUCCAAAGUUUCCUUUGGCAGAUACCUGGAUUCUACUCCAGAUUCCUGAGCAUUUUACUUGGGUUUCAUAUUUCAAAAUAUAUGUUCCAUUUGGCACUAAUGUAUAUAUUUUAUAUAUUAAUUUAUUGAAAAAUAUUAAAUGUUCCUGGCCUACUUAGAAAAAGGUAUUUUUAUAAAUAUUUAUGCAUAGUUUUCAUUACAUAGGGUAUUUUAUAAGUCCAAAUAAUAUGUGUAUAUAUAUAAAAUACCACAUGCAAAAUUCCUUUUGAACACAUAAAGACAUUCCCGACACACAUGUCUUGUAUGUAAUUUUUUUCACGUGAUCUAUUGUUAGCUGCUGUUAAAAGCACUUUAUUUCUACAUGGCCAAAUAAAUAACUUCUUUUACAGUUUUUGCAAAUAUAGAGUGGCAGUUUGUCUGAAACGGCAUUUUUAUUCUAAAACCUAUUUUUACUUUUCUACAUUAUCCCUUGCCUUUUAGAGGCUUUCUCUCCCUCUGCCGUUUUUAAAUGAGACUUCACUGCUGGACUCUAAACAGUUAUCCAGGACCUGCUCAUUCAAGGGCCUGGUGGUUUGAUUUAUCUUGGCUCCUUUGGCCUCGCCUCCCCACCCCUCCCCUGCCCUCCCCUCCCCACCCCUCCGCUUCCCUCCCCUCCCCUUCCCUUCCUUUCCUUUUUUUUUUUUUUCCCCCAGGGUCUCAAACUCCUGGCCUCAAGUGAUCCUUCUGCCUCAGCCUCCGAAAGUGCUGGGAUUACAGGCAUGAGCCACCAUGCCCUGUGCCUCACGUUAUUUCUUUGUACUGAACAUCUUCAGUGAGUAACUGAUCCCUCAUAUAGUGAAUUAUUCUUCCAAAUGAGUGCAUUUCCUGUGCUAACUAUGAUAGCUUGUAGAGUUGAUGGAUUUAGGUUUCAACAUGUUAUGGGAGUCUACUACCGGAAGAGAGGAAAAAGCUUUGCUUCAGGAAGAUUUUAGGAGUUUUGAGAUUCUGCUGUGAAUUUUGGAAAGGUUUAGCCUUAAAAACAUUUGGUGGUAACCUUAGAAGCCUGGUAUCUGUAGACCACCUGUCAGGCCCAACAGUGGGCUGUUUUUCUAUUAGUCCCUACUUGGGAGAAAAGCCAAGUAGUAUUGUCAGUGCCCUUGCUGUCCAGAAACCUGUGAUCUACCUAAGUGCAGAGAGCACCUUGCCAGUGUACACAAGCAAAUGCUGACCACAUUCUAGUCUCUUGCUACCAAGUAUGGUCCCAGGACCAGCAGCACCAAGCCUCACUCCAGGGCUACCAAGUUGGAAUCUUCAGUCUAAUGAAAUGUGGAUAGUUUGCGUGCAGAUUUAAUGUUUGAGAAGCACCGUCCAUGAGUGCUUGGUGGUUCUCCACCUUUCAAAGCUACAAACUCAUUUGAAAAUCUCAUGGGAUUUAUGAGCACCCUUGGAAAAGCAUAUUGAUUGAUACACAAAAUUUUUCAUAUGCAGUUUCAGAGUUCCUGUAAAUAAUCUAUUGAUGCCAGGGAAGUCCUAGGUUAAGACCCCCUAGUCACAAAGAAGAUUGACUCAGUGUCAGCUGGAGGAGUUAAGAGAAGAUUCUCACAGGGGGCAGAGCUUAAAUUAAACCUGGGGAAUUUGAUAGGAAGAGGAGUAAAGAAGAGCAUUUCAAGCUGUUGAAAUGCAAAGGUCCUGAGAGGGAAAAAGAGAAUGUCCUUUUUUGUAUGUGUUCAUGUGAAACUUAAUGAGGAGAUUGUUGUUUGACAGCAGGCUUUCCUUGCAAUUCCUUAUCAUCACUUGAACGUCCAGAAAAUGAAGCCAGACUGUGGACUCAGUAGUCAUUCCACUUUGGGUGUGCAAGAACCCUAUGACAUGGGGGUUUCACAUAAGAUCUCAUUUCCUACUACUUUGCUCACCUCUCACUCUGCCCCAGCCACAUUGGCCUUCAGGCUGUUCCAGGCACUCCCGACAACAGAGCCUGGCCCACUCUUGUCUGUGUGGGGAUUCUUCCCCAAAUCAGCAAAAGGCUCAUUAAGAUCUUUAUUCAAAUGAGACUUCAAGGGAGAGGCUUUCUUUCUAAAAUAGCAGCCCCUCCCACACUCCCUUUCCCUAAAUAAAACAGGAAGAACAAUUGCUUCACUACUUGCGUUAUAUUUAUUUACAAAUUCAUUUAUGGCCUGUUUCCUUAAAUGUAUGAACUUUAUUUGCUGCUGUAUCUCCUGUGCCUAGAAUAGGGCCUGGCAUAUAGUAGGUACUCAAUAAAUGUUUAUUGAAUAAAUGAUCUUUUAACUACAACCAGUAAUGAGUGUAAAAGCCAUGUUUACAACUCUAUAGCUACGAAAUCAUAAUAUAUGAAACAUUCUUGGAAUAUACCACAUGUUUGCUGAGACUGAAUUUUCAACCACUUCUCUUUAGUCUAAUGAAACAAGAAACACUAAACACAUGGAACAUUUUAAGUUUGAAAAUUCAAACAUUUUAAAGUAAGACUUACAAAAAAUGUCUGUAUAGUCCAUGUAUAAUGCACAACUAUUUUUCUUCUGGCAAAGCUGAGACACAUUCAUGUGUACUCAGCUGGGGUUUUCUUCCAAAAUGCCACAUCCAGGCUGAAUUCAUGUGUGUAUGGUCUGGAUUAUCCCCCUAAGUUAGAUUUAAGGAAAAUGUAGGAGAAGCUGGAAGGUUAGAACAUUUUGAAUGAGAAUUUCCUUAAAGCUUGAGUAUUCUCCUCCUUACUACCCAAUUAAAAUUUCACCAGUCCUGGAAAUAUGUCAACCUCUGCUAAUGAACUUGAUUGACUAAUUGCCAAGGCUAAGGAAUUUUCUAACCAGUGAUUUCCUUGUAAAUAAAGAAAUUUAGGUCACAUCUUGGUUGGGAGAUUUCAGCUUUGCCUAAUCAAAUGCAGCAGGAAAUGGUAUACUAUGAGAUAUACUAUGAGAGGCUAUGUUUGCAUGAGGACUACAGGCCUAGGGUACAGUUCUAAGCAGGUUACACGGUCACUCACCAUAACCACCAAAUACGUUUUUGGCAUUUGUAUUAGCUCUUGAACUUGGGCCAGCACCAAUUUAAUUUGUGCAUAAGACCUUCAAAUAUAGAUGCAUACUUGAUCCUGUUAGUGUAAACCAGUGACUAAUAAAGAGCAUUACUGUAUAUUUAUAUAGCCUUCUAUACUUCUAAAAACACUUUUUCAUUUCAUCUUCAUUUUAGGUCGUUCUGUUCUUGCUGGGUAGGUAAGGCAUUUAUGGUUGAUUUACACAUUUCUUCUUUCCAGAAGGGAUUUGAGGCAAAGUAGAAGGCUUUUGUAUAGAAUGAGUCAUUCCUUUUUUUUCCAGCUUUACUGAGGUAUAAUUGAUUGAGUCAUGCCUAUUGUACUCUUUGUUAUGUGUUCUUUCCCCACAUACCUGUAUGUCUCCCUCCUUAGCUUUCUUCCCAUGUCUGCUUAAAUCUGAACUCCCAGAGGCCUGCCUUCCAAGACAUCCUAGAUAAAGUAUCACCCAUGGCCUUCCUUAUCCCAGUACCCCCUUUAUUCUUCUACAUAGCACUUAACACCUGACAUGUUGAUUGUAUAUUUAUUUGUUUAUUGCCUCCCUGCUCCCCAUACCACUAGAAUAUAAACUCCAUGAGGGGCAGAAAUAUUGCCUAUUUUAUUCAUGGCUGUAUCCCAACCCCGUGAUCAGUGCUUGGCACAUAGUAGAGAUUUAAUAAAUAUUUGUUGAAUGAAUAAAUGAAUGAAGCCCCAGUGCUUAGGGCAGGCGCCUGUCAUGUGAUAAAUAUUUGUUGAAUUAAACAAAGCUUUAAUGAAUGAGCUAGAGAAAGGUCUGUGAUUCAUUCAAGGUUAUGCAGACAGUGAUAACUUGCUUUAUCUAGAUGCGAAUCCCCGCUAAUUCUUUCUCCAAGCCUUCUUCAUUUGUAUACCUCGUAGCAAAUCCAGCCUGUUGUAAUGUCAGAAUGUCUUUGUUCAUCCUUUUUGGUACCUGACAAAAAUUGAACAUUAUAGAGCUUUGAUAGUGAUUACAGGAUGAGCAAGAAAAAAUGACUAUUUCAGUUAAUGCUCUGGGUUAGUGAGACACAAUAAAAAAGAGAGAGGUCGGUUGGCCGCGGUGGCUCAUACCUGUAAUCCCAGCACUUUCGGAGGUGGAGGCAGGUAGAUCACAAGGCCAAGAUGGUGCAACCCUGUCCCUACCAAAAAUACAAAAAAAUUAGCCAGGUGCAGUGGCAGUCACCUGUAAUCACAGCUACUCGGGAGGCUGAGGCAGAGAAUUGCUUGAACCCAGGAGGCAGAGGUUGCAGUGAGCCAAGAUCGUGCCACUGCACUCCAGCCUGGGCGACAGAGCGAGCCUCCAUCUCAAAAAAAAAAAAAAAAAAAGAGAGAGAGGUCUGCAAUGAUACCGCCCCCAACUUCUGCUUCCCUGCAUGCAUUCAUGCACAUGGAUAGAAGAACACAUACUCCUACACCAUCCCCCAAAACACACACCUACACCUAGCAGUGUGCACCAAGGACAGAUCAUCUUCUGAGGGUUAAUUACAGAUCACUUCAUUUGGACUCCCAUAAAGGGAACCAGGAAAUGUGCAGUAGAGGACACCCAGGAUUGUUCUUGCAUUUACUUCACAAACAGCAACCCAUAGGGAUAUAUGUAAACCGCAUCAGACAAUUGUCUCUUCCUCCUUUUAGGGCCCCAAGGUGGCUUGCACUUAGGGACAGCAUCCUUCCCUGUGGCUCAUGUUUCUGAUGUGCUGGGCUCUUCAACCUGGUACUGUGGAUGCUCUGAAGGCCCCUUCUUGGCCAUGCCUGAUUUUCAGAAAUGUUCACCUGGUCGUCAACACUGCAGAAACAAUGGUCGUGGUGUCUUCCUCAACAAAGAUAACAGAUAGAUGCGGGGCCUUGAGAGUACUUGGAACUCCCUGGCUACUGACUGAACAGGUUGGAGCCAGAGGGGAGGGGAGCCAUUUUACACAUUUAAGGCGUGUUUAUUGGGUGUCUACUUUGUGCCAAGGAAUUGGGCCAACAGUGCUGGCACUCUCCUUGGGCUGACCUAUAUUCCUCUUAUUUUUCAAACCAGUGGACUCGAUGUGGAAACUAUGUUGUCGAAACCCUCCAUCUGAACAUUCCAGAGACAUCUAGAUGCCCCUGACUGUAAUCAGAUCACUUGUCUGAGCAUCAGGACAUGCACACAUGCAAGAGUCAACACUUGGUAAUCCCGUGCUUUGCACUUUUGUCUGGAAAUGCUAUUAUACUGACACAAGUGAGCACUGAAUGCUGAGCUGCUUCUUCCAAGGUAGUCAUCUCCUCUGUGGCACUAUAUUAAAAUCUUUGUGCCUAAGAGUGGUCUAGGACUUCCUUUUUGGUUUGUAAAGUCUUAUCUUUAAAUUGUUUCUAAUUAUGGACUUGCCUAGAAAACAAAGGUAAGAAUUUGCACGUUCAUGCCAUUAUAUUAUAGCCCUUAGAACCCGCUGCACAGCUCUGUUUGCUAGUGAAUAUGACCUAACACUCUUAUUGUCAUUCAACUUAUAUUUAUUGAACACCAGAGUGUAAGGCAUUGUGACAGGUACUCUAAAAGGUACAAAGAUGAAUAUGCUUCCUACACCUAAGUAGGUUAAACUUGUACAGAUGAUAAAACGAGCACCCAAGUCACUAUAAUACCAGAUAAUAUAUAAUAAAUAAUAAAUGUUAUCAAUUCCAUGUUUUCCAAAUGCCAAAUAGGGAUGCAUAUUCUGAUACGUUAUCUGACAAUGGGACAAUAUGUAUUGCAAUUGGGAUUAUCUGGGAUGUGUGGCCCACUAAUACUGAUAUUUCACUAUACACUGGUGGUUUUGAAGUUUUCUCCCUUUUGAAUGGAAUUGUAAGCAAGACCUCAAUGCUUAUUACAGGUGAACGUGCAGCUGCUCUGGUUGAGCUAUAAUGAGUGAGAAGUCCUUCUCUCUUCGUCCCCCACCCCCAUUCUCUCGCCAAGGGGUUCUUGAAACUCCUUCUUGAUUCUCACUGGCUCUCUUAUGGGCUGAAUAUUUGUAUCUCCCUAAAGUUCCUAUGUUGAAAUCCUAACCCCUGAAGUGAUGGUAUUAGGAGGAGAGGCCUUCAGCAGGUGAUUAGGUUGGAGCACUCAUGAACAGGAUUGGUGCCCUUAUAAAAGAGACCUUAGAGAGUUCCCUUGCUGUUUCUGCCAGGUGAGGACAUAGCAAGAAGGGUUACCUAGGAACCAGGAAGCAGACCCUCAUCUGACACCAAUCUUGGCCUUGAUCCUGGACUUCCCAGCCUCUAGAACUGUGAGAUAAAUAUUUGUUCUUUAAGCCACCCAGUUUAUGGUGUUUCUGUUGAACUAGCUUAAACAAACUAAGACUCCAAGAAACAGCUGAAACCACAGAGAGAUGAUCAGUAAAUAGAAUACUUCUGGUUAGAGUAACCAGGAUGGCCUGAUUAACAUGGGCUGAUUACUGGGCUUUCCAUUGUAUAGGGCUGGGGCAUGUGGUCUGAGUGCACCUGUUUGUGGUACAGAUCUUUAAGACUCAGGUAAAUGGCCUCCAUAGAGGAUGUCAGUGAGGAUCCAGGACUUGACUGGUGAGUUUCACGGCCUGUGUGGUUUUCAGAUAAAGUGGUGAAGGAUCCGAGGCUCAUUUCCAGCCUCCUGUGCCUUCCUCUUCCUGAGUCCUCCUCUUUCUUCUCUCCACUAUAGAUGGCUUCCCGCCAUCUGUUUCUCAGCCCAAAGCCCUGGCUCCUCUGGAUAUUUGUCUUUUGCCAGCAGCAGUACUCAUAGUGGAGCCUAACAUUUCUUCCUUUAGCAAUGGAUCCCAGAAGUACACACCCUGGGCAAUGCAAUGUUGGAUGAAUAGUGCCAUCCCCAAGGAGGCAACGCUUGGUUUGCUUCCAAAGAGGGCUGGCUUGGGAGGCAUGAACUCCACAGCCAUACACCAAUAAACUAGAACCCUAGUCCUUUAGUGUAGCAUUCUGGCUAAUCAAAGUUUUAUACCAUCUUGGAGCAGAGUUAACAAGCUUCACACAUUGCUUGGGAGGGAGGCUGCGUACUUUGAGGUUCAUGCUGUCCUGAAAUCUCCAAAUGUUGGGAUUAUGAUGGAGGCAUGAUGAAGUCUUAGACACCAUUCUCUUUUUUAAUUGAUUUAUUAUUCCUUGUCAAUGACCUAGCUCACUAUAAAGGAAAGCAGGGCUUACCGAAACCCCAAAGAUGGAAGCCAUACCCAUAUUUUUAAAAAUAUGAGGGCUGUGCAGAAAAUUCAAUUAAAAAUUGUAUUUUUGAGGGGUUUCCUUUUAAGUAAACUAUAUAUGUUUUUAGAGCAGUUUUAGAGUCAUGGCAAAAUUAAGCGGAAAGAACAGAGAGUUUCCAUAAUCUUCCCACUCGCACAUAGGCACACCCUCCCCGCUAUAAAGUCCUACAACAGGGUGGUGCCUUUGUUACAACUGAUGAAUCUACAUUAACACAUCAUUAUCCCCCAAAGUCCAUCACUUCCAUUAGGUUUCAUUCGUUAUGUUGUGCAUUCUAUGCAUUUUGUCAAAUGUAAAAUCAUAUGUAUCCACCAUUGUAGCGUCAGAACAAUUCUAUUGCCCCGAAAAUCCUCUGUGCUCCAUUUAUUCAUUCCUCCCUUCCUUCCCCAAUUCCACCCCAGUGACCCUGGCAAUCACUCAUGUUUUUUACUGUCUCCAUAGUUUUGACUUAUCCAGUAUGUCAUAUAGUUGGAAUCAUACAGUAUGUAGCCUUUUCAGAUUGGUUUCUUUUACUUAACAAUAUGCACUUAAGGUUCCUCCAUAUCUUUUCAUGGUUUGAUAACUCAUUUCUUUUUAGCAUUGAAUAAUAUCCAUCCAUCGUAUGGAGGUACCACAGUUUUUUAUUUGUUCAAGUAUUGAAUAUUUGUUAAAUUCUUACUCCGAAUGAGGUAUUAAACUAUAUGCCAUUGGGAGACAUAAUAAUAUAAGACACUAUUUAUAAAACAAGGCAUUGUUCUGUCAUACAAGGAACUUAUACACCUCUAGGCCUUUGUUAAGUGGUGGAGUGGAGAAAUGGGGUCUCAAGGAAGGAGAAAUUCCAGCUGGCUGAGUUUCAUGCUUCCUGAAGGGAAGUGCAUCUGAGGAGGGAUGUGGAUGGGUAGGAUUCCAACACUGCAUGGGCUGUGUCUCCCCCAGCAAAUUCAUAUGUUGAAGUCCUAACUACCAGUACCUUAAAAUGACUGUAUUUGGAGAUACGGCCUUUAAAGAGAUUCAAGGUUAAAUGAGGUCAGAUAGGUGGACCGUGAUCCAAUGUGACUGGUGUCCUUACAAGAAGAGGAGAUUUGGACACACACACACAGACUCCAGGGGUAUGUGUGAGGCGCACAGCGAGAAGAUGGUUGUCUACAAGCAAGGAGAGAAGACCCAGGAGAAGCCAGUGCUGCUGGCAUUUUGAUCUUGGACUUCCAGCCUCCAGAACUAUGAGGAAAGAAAUUGCUGCUGUUUAAGCAACCCAGCGAAAUAGCUAGUGGUAUUUCAUUUUUUCUUUCUUUUUCCUAAUUGUAGACUCAUAGCAAAUAGUGAUAUUUUGUUAGGGCAGCCCUAGCAAAUGAAUAAAAUUGUGAAGACAAGGAGGAGAAUGAUGCAACAGUGAGAAGGGCAUGAAGAAUGUUCAGAGGCUGGAACACAUGCCUGUGUUCAAGAUGGAGCCUGGGUUGGCUGGUAGUUUGGGACUAUUUCACCAGGCUGUUGUUGGCCUUGGGGAGGGCAGCAGAGGUGAGUCCAUGAGGGUGCUGGGAUGGAAUGACCUCUAGGAUUGCCCUUGUGAGUUCGGUCAGCCUUGGAAGUGGUGGCUUGGUAACAGGAGAUGUUUGUAUUUUGCAUGUUUUCAAGUCAAUGAAAGUCAGUCUUUAAAAUGCCUUGGCUCGCUUCUGUUUUAUUCCUGGUGUCAGUAUACAAUGGUUUUAGUACGGUAAGUUUGCAACACUAAAGGACAUAUUUUGUCAGAGAAACCAGCUAAAAAUAUUUCAAGAUGUUUCUCAGCGCCAAGUGAGCUCCUUGCCAUCCUUGGCUUUCCUUCUCCUGUAUUUCUGAACCUCAAAGCAAAAUGGUUAUUUAAAAUAGAGGUGCAGAUGUAUCUGAUCAAUUAAAAGAAUGUCAGUGCUUAAUGAGAUCUUAGAGGUCGUCUAGUCCUGCCUUCUCAUUUUACAGCAGAGGAAACAGAGACUAAAGAAAAUUAGUGAUUUUCUCAAGAUCAUCUGAUCAUUAGUUAGCAGUAGAGGCUCCUAGUGUAGACAGGUUGUUUUGCUAAAUAAUUUUGUUUCUAUAUAAAAAAGGAGGUUCAUCCUUGCAAGGGUUAGGAUGGGAAAGUGCUCUGAGUUAUGUCUGCGGGAGUCUCAUGGAAUCCAAAUGAAAAGUACAUGCUCUGGUGUCAGGCACCCGGAUUCAGACCCCUGCUGUCCAUCAGCUAGCCCUGUGAUCUUGGGUCAUUACUUAAGCUCACUAAACCUGAGUUCUUAUUUGUAAGAAUGGUGGUAGUAUGGGCAGGUUGUCACAGAACCCACCUUAAGUGUGAUGUGAAGAUUAAGUGAAACUGAAACAAUUCUUACCGAUGUGACUGACACAUUAUCAGGCCUCAAAACAUAUGCUCUUAUCUAUUCUUCCCACCACACAAGGAUACCAUAUUUCUCUCUGUCCCAGGGCCCUGGCACAAUUCCUGUUCCAGUCUGUGUGCGACAAAUAUGUGUUAGAUGACUGAAGCAUCAGGAGUGGCCUAGAGGGAAGGAUAGCACACGACAUUGGGAAUGAAAAAGGAAGCAGAAUACAAGAUGAUAUACGGAUAAGGGAGAUGUGUAAAUAUUUAGAUUCUCAGGCAAGUGGAAAGAUGUGAGAAGUGUUAAAGAGCAAUGAAAGUAAAAGAUGAAUUCUCCACCUCCAGGGGGUGAUCACAGGGGGUCAGACAACAGGCGUACUUGACAUGCUUUGCAAACAUGAAGUGUCAAACAGGUGUAUAGUAGCCAUCAAUACCAGAAGCAAACACACCUUAGUAAAAUUUCAAGAAGACAAUGUUACCUCAAGCAUCUGGAGAAGCUUAUACUGCUCAGAUCUCAGGAACCAGGGAGGUCACGGGGGAAAAGACCAAGGACAGUCGCAGGCAGCUUCAGCAAAAGUAGACCCAACAAUAAAAAUGAUGUAAGAAGUGUAUUAAGUAUGUCUUUUUAUUCUGAUUCUUCAACAUCUUGGAGUCUAGCUGACGUUGAAAGGAACUGCCCCUCCCAGGGUUAUGAAAUUCCUAGAGAUAGCAACUUGCCUGGGAGCCUAUCUUUCAUACGCAAACCAGCCAAUCCAAAGCCCACACUUCUACCACCUCCUUUAUCUGGCUCUUAUAUGCAGACCCACUAUCCCACUGUCCUAAUCACCCUAGGCCAUGACAGGAUACCAGAUGACUAGAGACAGCCCCUAUGCCCCAGAUCCUGCUGGAAUUAUUCAAACUAGCCAAUCCUAAACCUGCUUACUCUGCCUUUCCCUUCUCAAUAAAGGUUCUUGUCCACGAUCCCCCCUCACUCCUUCUUUCUCUUGACUCACCCUUCUCCAUGUUGCCCUACCUAGGGUGCUCCUGUUAUUAGGUAUCUGUAAGUAUAAAAACUUAUUCCUUCAUGACUGUCUUUUCUGCAUGUCUUACCAUACCUGAUUAAAACAAAUCCCAGGUACUCUUAUAUUAAUAAAAAGGAGCCAUCAGGGUUUCUAGGAUCAUCUCCUCUAUCCAGAUGACAGCCCUCUCUUCUCUUUUUGGACAUGUUUUUCAUUUUGGUUUGGAAAGGAUAAUGUCUUCUGUGUUCUGAGAAGUUACUUUUUGCAUUUCUCUCCUCUCUUUCUCAUUUAUUUUAUGUAAAGCCUUAUUAGCUCCCACAACUUUGUUUGCUCUCUUACUUGAUAAUGGAGAACAUAAGAGCUAAAGUCAAGUGGAGGAAACAAGUUGGUGGUUUCUACAUCCUGCUUCUUAUAGGACCCGGAAGAGGAGCACCUCUUCUAUAGCCUGAGCUAUCUCAACAGUGUUCUCUAUGGCUCAUGCUGGUGACUCAGAUUUCUUGUUUAGUUUUUAAGUUUUACUCCCCACUCCUGACAAACUUUUAAUAUUUUUAAAAGCGGUUAAACAACGAGGUACUAUUAUACACCUAUAAGGAUGGCUAAAAUCCAAAAAUAACUGACAAUACCAUUUGCUGACAAGGAUCAACGGAACUUUGUGGAACAACAGGAGUCUCAUUCAUUGCUGGUGUGAAUUUAAAACGGUUACAGCCACUUUGGAAGACAGUUUGGCAGUUUCUUAGAGUUAAACAUAGCCUCAUCAUAGGACCCAGCAAUCAUGUUCGUAAGUAUUUACUUAAAUGAGUUGAGAACUUAUGUCUACACAAAAAUCAGCAUGAGAAUUUUAUAGCAGUUUUAUUUACAACUACCAAAAACUAGAAGUAAACUUUAGUAGGUGAAUGGCUAAAUAAACUGUGGCACAUCCACACAAUGGAAUGAGCUGUCAAACCACAGGAAGACAUAGAUGAAUCUUAAAUGCAUGUUGCUAAGUGAAAAAAGCCAGUCUUAAAAGGCUACAUAAGGUAUAAUUCCAUUUAAGUAAUAUCCUGGAAAAGGCAAAACUCUUAUGGAGAUGGCAAAUAGACCAGUGGUUUCAGAAA
rnacentral:lncRNA from 1 species